rnacentral:rRNA from 1 species
UACAGGGGGGGCAAGCGUUGUUCGGAAUUACUGGGCGUAAAGGGCCAGUAGGCGGCCAACUAAGUCCGACGUGAAAUCCCCAAGCUUAACUUGGGAACUGCGUCGGAUACUGGAUGGCUUGAAUUCGGGAGAGGGAUGCAGAAUUCCAGGUGUAGCGGUGAAAUGCGUAGAUAUCUGGAGGAAUACCGGUGGCGAAGGCGGCAUUCUGGACCGACAUUGACGCUGAACGGCGAAAGCUAGGGGAGCAAACGGG